rnacentral:rRNA from 1 species
GGAAUAUUGCGCAAUGGGCGAAAGCCUGACGCAGCGACGCCGCGUGGGUGAAGAAGGUUUUCGGACUGUAAAGCCCUUUUCUAGGUGGCGAGCGUGGACGGUAGCCUAGGAAUAAGUCUCGGCUAACUCCGUGCCAGCAGCCGCGGUAAAACGUAGGAGGCGAGCGUUAUCCGGAGUUACUGGGCGUAAAGCGCGUGCAGGCGGAUCGGUAAGUUACUCAUGAAAGCUCCUGGCUAAACCGGGAGAGGUUGAGUAAAACUGCCAGUCUAGAGUGGAUGAGAGGUAGGUAGAAUUCCUUGUGUAGUGGUGAAAUGCGUAGAUAUAAGGAAGAAUACCGGUGGCGAAGGCGACCUACUGGCAUCCAACUGACGCUCAGACGCGAAAGCAUGGGUAGCGAA